rnacentral:rRNA from 1 species
GAUGAACGCUGGCGGCGUGCCUAAUACAUGCAAGUCGAGCGAAUGGAUUAAGAGCUUGCUCUUAUGAAGUUAGCGGCGGACGGGUGAGUAACACGUGGGUAACCUGCCCAUAAGACUGGGAUAACUCCGGGAAACCGGGGCUAAUACCGGAUAACAUUUUGAACCGCAUGGUUCGAAAUUGAAAGGCGGCUUCGGCGGUCACCUAUGGAUGGACCCGCGUGGCAUUAGCUAGUUGGUGAGGUAACGGCUCACCAAGGCAACGAUGCGUAGCCGAACGGAGAGGGUGAUCGGCCACACUGGAACUGAGCAACGGCCCAGACUCCUACGGGAGGCAGCAGUAGGGAAUCUUCCGGGAUGGACGAAAGUCUGACGGAGCAACGCCGCGUGAGUGAUGAAGGCUUUCGGGUCGUAAAACUCUGUUGUUAGGGAAGAACAAGUGCUAGUUGAAUAAGCUGACACCUUGACGGUACCUAACCAGAAAGCCACGGCUAACUACGUGCCAGCCGCCGCGGUAA